ensembl:lncRNA
CUAGCCUAUACCAACUAAACACAGAAUAGCCCACAUCAGCCCAACACAGGCUAGCCUAUACCAACUAAACACAGGCUAGCCCACACCAGCCCAACACGGGCUAGCCCAUACCAACUAAACACAGAAUAGCCCACACCAGCCCAACACAGGCUAGCCCACACCAGCCCAACACGGGCUAGCCCAUACCAACUAAACACAGGCUAGCCCACACCAACCCAACACAGGCUAGCCCACACCAACCCAACACAGGCUAGCCCACACCAGCCCAACACGGGCUAGCCCACACCAGCCCAACACGGGCUAGCCCAUACCAACAAAACACAGAAUAGCCCACACCAGCCCAACACGGGCUAGCCCACACCAGCCCAACACGGGCUAGCCCAUACCAACAAAACACAGAAUAGCCCACACCAGCCCAACACGGGCUAGCCCACACCAGCCCAACACAGGCUAGCCCAUACCAACUAAACACAGAAUAGCCCACACCAGCCCAACACAGGCUAGCCCAUACCAACUAAACACAGAAUAGCCCACACCAAAGGCGCAUCGGCCCAAUGUGGGCAGCCUAGAUGGGGCCAAUAUUUUAGCCCAAAUUGGGCCCACACCGAGACAAUGUGGACAUGUUUGCUGGGGCUAAAACCUACAAUUUCUAGUUCCUUGUAAUUUUAUCGCUCUCUCCACGGUGCCGUGAGAAAACAAUAUAGUCCAAAUCUCCUUAAUGUUGUUUGAAUCUAAUGUCUCACAUUGGGCAUAUUAAGCAGAUUGCCUGCGUUAAACUACUGCUGUCAGAGCAGCAUGACAGACAUUACCAGCACUUAAGGCACUUUGUUUGUGUAUGUGUGUGUGUAUGUGUGUGUGUGUGUGUGUCUCUGUUUAUCUGCAUGUGUGUGUUUGUUUGUAGGUGUGUAUGUGUGUUCGAACACCCCAAAUCUGAUUUUGCCCAUUCAUCCAAGUCUGUAAUCGUGCCCCAGACAGUUUGGUCCAUUUAAAAUGUAAAAAUAAAGUAAUAAAGGCUCAAUAAAGUAAUCAUAUCAUGCUGCUGCUCUAUAACUGUGCUGUCACCUCUACUGUGAUCAUAAGAGACAAGACCUGAGAGAGAAUGACAACAUCAAUGCUUGGCUAACAACUAUCACUGUAAUAAACAUGUGUAUGGAUCUGAAAGGCCUUGGUAG